AAUAGGUAUGCUUAGGGAGGAGCUUGCGUCACAUUAGUUAGUUGGUGGGGUAAAGGCCUACCAAGACUAUGAUGUGUAGCCGGGCUGAGAGGUUGAACGGCCACAUUGGGACUGAGACACGGCCCAAACUCCUACGGGAGGCAGCAGUAGGGAAUUUUCGGCAAUGGAGGAAACUCUGACCGAGCAACGCCGCGUGAACGAUGAAGUAUUUCGGUACGUAAAGUUCUUUUAUUAGGGAAGAAUAAAUGAUGGAAAAAUCAUUCUGACGGUACCUAAUGAAUAAGCCCCGGCUAACUAUGUGCCAGCAGCCGCGGUAAUACAUAGGGGGCAAGCGUUAUCCGGAAUUAUUGGGCGUAAAGGGUGCGUAGGCUGUUAAAUAAGUUUAUGGUCUAAGUGCAAUGCUCAACAUUGUGAUGCUAUAAAAACUGUUUAGCUAGAGUAAGAUAGAGGCAAGUGGAAUUCCAUGUGUAGUGGUAAAAUGCGUAAAUAUAUGGAGGAACACCAGUAGCGAAGGCGGCUUGCUGGGUCUUUACUGACGCUGAGGCACGAAAGCGUGGGGAGCAAACAGGAUUAGAUACCCUGGUAGUCCACGCCGUAAACGAUGAGUACUAAACGUUGGGUAAAACCAGUGUUGAAGUUAACACAUUAAGUACUCCGCCUGAGUAGUACGUACGCAAGUAUGAAACUUAAAGGAAUUGACGGGACUCCGCACAAGCGGUGGAUCAUGUUGUUUAAUUCGAAGGUACCCGAAAAACCUCACCAGGUCUUGACAUGCUUUUGCAAAGCCGUAGAAACACAGUGGAGGUUAUCAGUUGCACAGGUGGUGCAUGGUUGUCGUCAGCUCGUGUCGUGAGAUGUUGGGUUAAGUCCCGCAACGAGCGCAACCCUUAUUGUUAGUUGCCAGCACGUAAUGGUGGGGACUUUAGCAAGACUGCCAGUGAUAAAUUGGAGGAAGGUGGGGACGACGUCAAAUCAUCAUGCCCCUUAUGACCUGGGCUACAAACGUGAUACAAUGGCUGUUACAAAGGGUAGCUGAAACGCAAGUUUUUGGCGAAUCUCAAAAAAACAGUCUCAGUUCGGAUUGAAGUCUGCAACUCGACUUCAUGAAGUUGGAAUCGCUAGUAAUCGCG
rnacentral:rRNA from 1 species